GGUCAAUGAUGUAACCUGGCAUGUAUUAUCUGACUCUGAAGCUGAAGAUUUACCUCUUUAGCUCUAAAAUUACACUGAGACCUA
ensembl:snoRNA